rnacentral:rRNA from 1 species
AUUGAACGCUGGCGGCAGGCCUAACACAUGCAAGUCGAACGGUAACAGGAAGCAGCUUGCUGCUUUGCUGACGAGUGGCGGACGGGUGAGUAAUGUCUGGGAAACUGCCUGAUGGAGGGGGAUAACUACUGGAAACGGUAGCUAAUACCGCAUAACGUCGCAAGACCAAAGAGGGGGACCUUAGGGCCUCUUGCCAUCGGAUGUGCCCAGAUGGGAUUAGCUAGUAGGUGGGGUAACGGCUCACCUAGGCGACGAUCCCUAGCUGGUCUGAGAGGAUGACCAGCCACACUGGAACUGAGACACGGUCCAGACUCCUACGGGAGGCAGCAGUGGGGAAUAUUGCACGAUGGGCGCAAGCCUGAUGCAGCCAUGCCGCGUGUAUGAAGAAGGCCUUCGGGUUGUAAAGUACUUUCAGCGGGGAGGAAGGGAGUAAAGUUAAUACCUUUGCUCAUUGACGUUACCCGCAGAAGAAGCACCGGCUAACUCCGUG